GACGAACGCUGGCGGCGUGCCUAAUACAUGCAAGUUGAGCGCUGAAGGUUGGUACUUGUACCAACUGGAUGAGCAGCGAACGGGUGAGUAACGCGUGGGGAAUCUGCCUUUGAGCGGGGGACAACAUCUGGAAACGAAUGCUAAUACCGCAUAAAAACUUUAAACACAAGUUUUAAGUUUGAAAGAUGCAAUUGCAUCACUCAAAGAUGAUCCCGCGUUGUAUUAGCUAGUUGGUGAGGUAAAGGCUCACCAAGGCGAUGAUACAUAGCCGGACUGAGAGGGGGGACGGGCAACAUGGGAACUGGAAAACGGCCAAAAUCCCACGGGAGGCAGCAGGAGGGGAACUUCGGGAAAGGAGGGAAGUCUGACCGAGGAAAGGCGGGGGAGUGAAGGAGGGUCUCGGAUCGUAAAAAUCUGGUGGUAGAGAAGAACGAUAGUGGGAGGGGAAAGUGCAUGAAUUGACGGUAACUACUCAGAAAGGGACGGCUAACUACGUG
rnacentral:rRNA from 1 species